CUUAAAUGAUUUCUUCGGAAUGAACUUAAGUGGAUUAGUGGCGGACGGGUGAGUAACGCGUGAGUAACCUGCCUUACACAAGGGGAUAGCCGUUGGGAAACGACGAAUAAUACCCUAUGAAACUAUCACUUCGCAUGAAGCGAUAGUCAAAGUGUUAGCGGUGUAAGAUGGACUUGCGUCUGAUUAGCUAGUUGGUGAGAAAAAAGCCCACCAAGGCAACGAUCAGUAGCCGGCUUGAGAGAGUGUACGGCCACAUUGGGACUGAGACACGGCCCAGACUCCUACGGGAGGCAGCAGUGGGGAAUUUUGCACAAUGGGGGAAACCCUGAUGCAGCGACGCCGCGUGAUUUAGAAGGCCUUCGGGUUGUAAAAAUCUUUUGUAUAGGAAGAAAAUGACAGUACUAUACGAAUAAGGUCCGGCUAAUUACGUGCCAGCAGCCGCGGUAAUACGUAAGGACCGAGCGUUGUCCGGAAUCAUU
rnacentral:rRNA from 1 species